UUUUGAUAACUAAUAUGAAGAUUUUAUUGUUUAUGUGGGACUUGAACCCGGGUCUCUCCGGUGAGAGCCGAGUAUCCUAACUAAGUAGACUACAACGGAAGAUGUUAUUAAGUUCUUAAUCAUUAUUAAAAUCAUUGAUUCAUCACUUUAUAAACAGAUAAUAACUUCGGGUAUUACGGAUGUAACGUCAAAAACUCACACUUUAUAAACAGUAUGAUUUUUUUCUAAAAUUAUUAACGCAGUUUCAAAAGAUAAAUUAAACCAAAGUUAAAGUAAAAGGUAUAUCUAGCUUAAGCAUUUUGAUUUAAAAAGAGUUAGGCAGUUAGUUAGCUGUAUAUGUAUGUAACAACUUUUACAGCAGAUUUAGAGGUUUGACUUGGUUGACCAUGUCUUUACCUGGAUAAAUUUUUGUGUAGCUAGCGGUGUCAAGGUGUGACCGUAAAGGUGUUCCUCCCCAACGGUUCUAGUUCUAAGGUGAAAUAUGAGGGAUAUCUUUUGGAGAAGUAUGGGGAGGAAAGUAGCGAACACCGAGAACUUGACAAAGAAUUGUGGUACCGAGCUUCCGGGGGAAAGAAGAGAGGAAAAGUAUAUGGGUUAAGCAAUCUUAAGAAUGAUUUUAGCGUUCAGCAUCAUGGCAAACAAGACCAAGAGAUCGAAAGAUUGAACGUGAUUAUCCAAGAUAUAGUGAAAUAAAAUGAAGAAGAAAAAGAAAGGUUGAACGAUAUUAUUGCGGAAUUGGUGGUGGAAAAAGAGAAAGAUAAGGCGAGAAAGAGGCUAUGAAUGAGAGGAUG